GACGAACGCUGGCGGCGUGCUUAACACAUGCAAGUCGAACGCUGAAGCUUGGUGCUUGCACUGGGUGGAUGAGUGGCGAACGGGUGAGUAAUAAGUGAGUAACCUGCCCUUGACUCUGGGAUAAGCCUGGGAAACUGGGUCUAAUACUGGAUACGACAUGUCACCGCAUGGUGGUGUGUGGAAAGGGUUUUACUGGUUUUGGAUGGGCUCACGGCCUAUCAGCUUGUUGGUGGGGUAAUGGCUCACCAAGGCGACGACGGGUAGCCGGCCUGAGAGGGUGACCGGCCACACUGGGACUGAGACACGGCCCAGACUCCUACGGGAGGUAGCAGUGGGGAAUAUUGCACAAUGGGCGGAAGCCUGAUGCAGCGACGCCGCGUGAGGGAUGACGGCCUUCGGGUUGUAAACCUCUUUCAGCACGGAAGAAGCGAAAGUGACGGUACGUGCAGAAGAAGCGCCGGCUAACUACGUG
rnacentral:rRNA from 1 species